rnacentral:sRNA from 1 species
UUCCAUUAGCUCUGCCAGGGUGGCGGCUU